rnacentral:rRNA from 1 species
CCCUUAGAUGUUCUGGGCCGCACGCGCGCUACACUGAUGCAUUCAACAAGUCCUACCUUGGCCGAGAGGCCUGGGAAAUCUUUCAAAUAUGUAUCGUGAUAGGGAUAGAUUAUUGCAAUUAUUAAUCUUGAACGAGGAAUUCCUAGUAAAUGCAGAUCAUCAUUCUGCGUUGAUUACGUCCCUGCCCUUUGUACACACCGCCCGUCGCACCUACCGAUUGAAUGAUCCGGUGAAGCCUCGGGAUUGUGCCCAGAGAACUUUAUUGUGAUUUGGGUGUGAGAACUUGUCUAAACCUUAUCAUUUAGAGGAAGGUGAAGUCGUAACA